AACUUUCAGCAACGGAUCUCUUGGCUCUCGCAUCGAUGAAGAACGCAG
rnacentral:rRNA from 2 species